rnacentral:lncRNA from 1 species
AGAGAUUGAGCGGAUGGUCCGCGAGGCAGAGGAGUUUGCCGACGAGGACAAGAAGGUUAAGGAGAGGAUCGACGCCCGUAACAGCUUGGAGACAUAUGUCUACAACAUGAAGAACCAGAUCAACGACAAGGACAAGCUGGCUGACAAGCUUGAAGGUGACGAGAAGGAGAAGGUUGAAGCCGCCACCAAGGAGGCUCUUGAAUGGUUGGACGACAACCAGACGGCAGAGAAGGAAGACUACGAGGAGAAGCUCAAGGAGGUGGAAGCUGUGUGUAACCCGAUCAUCGCCGCAGUGUACCA